rnacentral:rRNA from 1 species
GGGUAGCCGGCCUGAGAGGGCGACCGGCCACACUGGGACUGAGACACGGCCCAGACUCCUACGGGAGGCAGCAGUGGGGAAUAUUGCGCAAUGGGCGAAAGCCUGACGCAGCGACGCCGCGUGAGGGACGAAGGCCUUCGGGUCGUAAACCUCUUUCAGCAGGGAAGAAGCGAAAGUGACGGUACCUGCAGAAGAAGCACCGGCUAACUACGUGCCAGCAGCCGCGGUAAUGCGUAGGGUGCAAGCGUUGUCCGGAAUUAUUGGGCGUAAAGAGCUCGUAGGCGGCUUGUCACGUCUGCUGUGAAAACUCGGGGCUCAACCCCGAGCCUGCAGUGGAUACGGGCUAGCUAGAGUGCGGUAGGGGAGACUGGAAUUCCUGGUGUAGCGGUGAAAUGCGCAGAUAUCAGGAGGAACACCGGUGGCGAAGGCAGGUCUCUGGACCGAUACUGACGCUGAGGAGCGAAAGCGUGGGGAGCGAACAGGAUUAGAUACCCUGGUAGUCCACGCCGUAAACGUUGGGCGCUAGGUGUGGGGAACUUUCCACGUUCUCCGUGCCGCAGCUAACGCAUUAAGCGCCCCGCCUGGGGAGUACGGCCGCAAGGCUAAAACUCAAAGGAAUUGACGGGGGCCCGCACAAGCGGCGGAGCAUGUGGCUUAAUUCGACGCAACGCGAAGAACCUUACCAAGGCUUGACAUAUACCGAAAACUGGCAGAGAUGUCAGGUCCGCAAGGGCGGUAAACAGGUGGUGCAUGGUUGUCGUCAGCUCGUGUCGUGAGAUGUUGGGUUAAGUCCCGCAACGAGCGCAACCCUUGUUCUAUGUUGCCAGCGCGUAAUGGCGGGGACUCAUAGGAGACUGCCGGGGUCAACUCGGAGGAAGGUGGGGAUGACGUCAAAUCAUCAUGCCCCUUAUGUCUUGGGCUGCACACAUGCUACAAUGGCCGGUACAAAGGGCUGCGAAACCGCAAGGUGGAGCGAAUCCCAAAAAGCCGGUCUCAGUUCGGAUUGGGGUCUGCAACUCGACCCCAUGAAGUCGGAGUCGCUAGUAAUCGCAGAUCAG